GCCAAAACAGUUAAAAAAUUUUAUAGUUUUGGAAAAAUCAGCAACUUCAGUUUUGCUUGGUUGGACAAUACCUGAUCUUACAGAUAUUUCAAGAAAGCAUUUUUAUUUAUUGCUUAAUUGUAACAUGCCUACAUUAACAAAUAAUUUAACAGGCAAAGUUUGAGAAUCCAAAUUUCGGAAAGUUAAUUGGUUGCCAUAUUUACGUCACUCAGCUUUAUGGAAAGCAAUUUCAAAGUGCCAUUCAAACCACUAACUUAACUUUUCCAUUAAGAGUUUUCAGUUCUAUUUUGAUAAGGGAUUUACUACCAUGAACUUAUUAUAACAUAUCAGUGGUGGUGUUCAAUGAUGACAAUCUUUUAUCCAACAUAAGCUAAUUACAACAAAGAACAUCACAAAGUCGUCCAGACGGUGCUCCGACAAUAGAGGCUACUACAAGAACUGCAACUACUAUAUCAGGCUAUGUGAAACAUGAUAACCGCUACCCAGACAAAGAUGUUAUAACAAGUUAUGAGAUUGUAUAUAAUCCAGGAAACUACACUUUUAAAAUCAAAGUUGAUGGAAUUUUUGAUGAACAGCAGUUUUUUCAUAUACAAGACUUGAAACCAUUUACAUGGUAUCAAAUCUGCUCUCGUUCAAAAAAUAAAGCUGGGUAUGGACCUUUUAGUGACUUUAUUUGGGCAAUGACAGAAAUACUCGCACCAAAUGAGCCAACCUUUAUGAAAUAAAAAACCAAAACUUAAUCUUAACAUGGAAACCACCAUCAACUCCAAAUGGAAAUAUCACAAAGUAUGAAAUUCAAAUAACUUUACGUAACCGCACAGUGGUCACAAUAUUUACUUCGACGUGUACAAAAUUUGAUACAAACCUUCCCUACAAAAGCGUGCUUGUUGUUGCCAUUCGUGCUUAUACAAGUAAAGGAUAUGAACAGUAAAGUUUCAGGGGCGGACCCAGGAAUUUAUUUGGGUACAUCUGAUUUUUUGGAAAAAUCUUUAACCACCUCCCCUGGGCCGUCCUGAAGGAUGGGGGGGGUCGUGGUGUCCCUCACUCCCCUCCCUUAAAGAUAUCUUACAAGCAUUUGAGUUAGCACAUUAAGCAAGUCUUGAACUAUAUUUGGCAUAUUGGAAAUAUUGAGGACUUUUUUUU